ensembl:lncRNA
UUGGUUUGUUUAUUACCGGUAACACUGAAGCCCACAAUUCAGGCGUUCUUACAUGUGUGCAUCCCUGCAGGAACGCCCCUACCCCUGAGUCAAAAUGGAAAUUGAGUACCACAGUACGAGUUAUAAUACCCAUAAAACCUAGCGGUAAACCCCGGAAAUGGUUCCAAUCGUUUUUCCACCAUUCAUUUUUCCAUAGGGGAUUUUAUAACUACUUAAUAUAAGGUCUGUGUUUCGUGUAGGCUUACCCUGGCACAACGUUUUAAUAACUGUGCAAAUCUCCACCGGACAAGGUAACUUUUAUCAGUUUUUAAUCUGUAAUUACCCUCCCAAAAAUGAAAUAUGAAUUAGCUGCUAAUGUAGCUAUCAUACAGAACUAUACUUCCUGUCGCAAGCUUUAACGUCAUCACUCAAGGCACAGAGUAGGAAAAACCUCCACAUUUCUCCAUACAAACUCUCAUCAACAAGUAGCAAGUAAACUAACAUGUACCCUUGUUUUAAAAAGAAAAUGUCCAGUACAGACAGGAGGGUAGCGGUUGUUCUGACUCAGGUUCAAGGAGACGUGCUAUUCCACUGAACAUGCCCCGGAAACGGUUCCUUAGUCACUGAAGUUCCUCCUCUCUGGGCUCUCGAGACAGAGGGUUGUAGUCUUCGGCUGGGUAUAGGUCCUCCACUGACUGCACAUUGUUGGGCAUUGCUGGCUUCCUCCACUGGCAUUCCACAUCUGUACGGCCGAUAUUGUGAAUACGCCAAAAUAGGCUGCAUGGCUACACUUAUGAGCUCCACAGAGGCAUUCACAUGUGGUAGAGAGAAUCCCCUGGUCACUAAUAGAGACCUCCCAAGAGGAAGGAUGUUAAGUGCCAUAUGCCUUUCAAUUCAUGACUUUGAACACCUUGAAAUGCAUUUGUUGUAAGAAAUGUUGUAAGAAAUGAAGUUUGAUUUAAUUGAUGACAUUACAGCUGUGGAAUAUUUAAUAAACUGUAAUUUUCAUGAGGACAAAAGUUGUUUUUCCAUCAACUUUUAAUAUAUAAUUUGUGAUUUUAUAAUUUGACAUAUCAAUCAUAUAGUUGGAAGGAUCCUAUAA